rnacentral:lncRNA from 1 species
AGAUCCCUGCCUACCUGAGGUCUGCUGAAGGCUGGAUUCUGAGCAGCACAUGAAAGCAAAAGGCACCAUGUCUCAGGACCACCUGGUUUCUUUGCCUAUCCCAGCCCAUUUUGGAAUGCCAGAACAAACACUCCUUAAACAAUCUAAAUUCACUUACCUGGGAGCCCAUGUCAGGAAGCAGGUGCCUUGUGUUGAACCCCCUAAAGAGGCAAACAGGAGACAUAUGUGCCCUGAGCACAGAAACUGCUCUGCCAUGCCCUUUACUCAGCUGUACCACCUGGACCAUACCCAUCUUCAGGAUGCUCUCCUACACAUCUGAGUUCCAUAUCAGGAUUAUGGCAGAGUCCCACAGAUCUGUAUUCCUUUAAAUGUAGGCAUUUUUCUGGAGUGUGGCUUAAAAUUGUACUUCCCAUAGAUUAGACUCACAAAUACAAUGCUGCUUUGUGACCUCCAACCGCCUUCAGAUGGUUUUCUCUCUACAGGCAGCAUCUUCUGCAUCUCUACUGCAAAAUCUUUGACUCACCUACUUUAUGCUGGUAUAUUUGCUGAGCAAAAUGAAAAGCAUGCAGUGGCUGUUUAGCGUUGUCCUUAUUUCUUUGUGAAGAACAAGCUUAUUAUUGCUUAGUAUUAUGUAACUACUAAUUAAAGAGCCAGCCCUUUAUGAGGAGCAGAGCAGGGCCAUGGACUUCAUAUGGGUCUGGGAGCAGCAGGGCUGGGGCAGGUCAGUAUGGACGUGGCUGGAAGAGCUGCUCAGGACACAGAGAUUUAGGAGACUUCAGGAGAAGAGACCCAUUGUGCUCAGUGCUGGGAAAUGGAAUAGGACAGGAACUUCGUUGAGAGCCCUUCUGCAACAACAUGGAAACACCCUCAUUAGGAGAGCUGGCUUGCAGGAGGGCUAUCCGAUCUGUGCCAUGUGCCUGUGAUUAUCCCCUUGACAAAAAAAUGUUCCUGCUAAUCCCCAG